CCCUUAGAUGUUCUGGGCCGCACGCGUGCUACACUGAGUGGAUCAGCGGGUCAGGUUGCGCGAAAGCGUUUCCUAAUCUUUAAAUCCGCUCGUGAUGGGGAUUGACGGUUGCAAUUUUCUGUCAUGAACGAGGAAUACCUUGUAAGCGCGGGUCAUCAUCCCGCGCUGAAUACGUCCCUGCCCUUUGUACACACCGCCCGUCGCUCCUACCGCUUGAGUGGUCCGGUGAGGCUUUGGGAUCUGAGCGGAAAGAGCGUUUCGCUGUUUCUGCUCGGAAAACUCAGUCGAACCUUAUCAUUUAGAGGAAGGAGAAGUCGUAACA
rnacentral:rRNA from 1 species